GGCUCCAUAGUUCAAUGGAUUAGAAUGCUGCACUACGGAUGCAGUGAUGGAGGUUCGAAUCCCCCUGGGGCUAC
rnacentral:tRNA from 1 species